rnacentral:rRNA from 1 species
AGUGAACGCUGGCGGUGGGCCUAACACAUGCAAGUCGAACGGCCAAAUAGUGAGCGCUCGCUUUUACGGGUGGCGAGUGACGGAUGGGUGAGGAAUGGUUCGGCUUCUACUUAUUCGGGGGGGACACCGUCGGGGAAUUUACGCUAUUACCGAACACGUAUUACGGCUGAAAGCAGGGGUAUUUCGGAUUUUGUCCCUUAUUCUGAGGCGAGGUCGGAUUAGCUUGUUCAGGGGGUAAAGGACCACCAUGGCGAGGAUCCGUACCUGGUCUGAGAGGAUGAUCAGCCACACUGGAACUGAGACACGCUCCAUACUCCUACGGGAAGCAGCAGUUGGGAAUAUUGCACAAUGGGCGCAAGCCUGAUGCAGCCAUGCCGCGUGGGUAAAGAAGGUCUUCGGGUUGUAAAGCCCUUUUAUUUGGAAAGAAAAGCUGCAGCUGAAUACCCCGCCGUUCUGACGGUACCCAAAGAAUAAGCACCGGCUAACUUCGUG